rnacentral:rRNA from 1 species
CGUAGGCGGUUUGUUAAGUCGGAUGUGAAAGCCCCGGGCUCAACCUGGGAAUUGCAUUCGAUACUGGCCGACUAGAGUACGAGAGAGGGAGGUAGAAUUCCACGUGUAGCGGUGAAAUGCGUAGAUAUGUGGAGGAAUACCGGUGGCGAAGGCGGCCUCCUGGCUCGAUACUGACGCUGAGGUGCGAAAGCGUGGGUAGCAAACA